rnacentral:rRNA from 1 species
GACGAACGCUGGCGGCGUGCUUAACACAUGCAAGUCGAACGGAAAGGCCCUGCUUUUGUGGGUUGCUCGAGUGGCGAACGGGUGAGUAACACGUGUGUAACCUGCCCUUGACUUUGGGAUAACUUCAGGAAACUGGGGCUAAUACCGGAUAGGAGCUCCUGCUGCAUGGUGGUGGUUGGAAAGUUUCGGCGGUUGGGGAUGGACUCGCGGGUUAUCAGCUUGUUGGUGGGGUAGUGGCUUACCAAGGCUUUGACGGGUAGCCGGCCUGAGAGGGUUACCGGCCACAUUGGGACUGAGAUACGGCCCAGACUCCUACGGGAGGCAGCAGUGGGGAAUAUUGCACAAUGGGCGGAAGCCUGAUGCAGAAACGCCGCGUGCGGGAUGACGGCCUUCGGGUUGUAAACAGAUGUCGCCUGUGACGAAGAGUGAGUGACGGUAAUGGGUAAAGAAGCACCGGCUAACUACGUG